UUUAUAGACAUUUUCUCUUGAGGGUAACUGACUUUUUUUUUUCUUGUCUAUUCGGCACAUCACAGUUAAGCAGAGAGGGCAAGAGCCUCGACCGCGACGCUGCCGUACAGAUGCUACUUUAUUCACAUGCCCCUUCUGCACAACUGAUGUAUGUAAGCCAAGACAGUACCAUCAAAUAAUGACCCAUAUAGCUGGCCAUAAACUGAGAGCGGUUGAAUAUGGAGAUAAUGUUAUAUACAGCUGUAACAUUGGCUGUGGCAAAAAGGCCAAACAUUUUCACUGCUGCCAGUGUCCCAAGACUUACAUCAAUAAAGGUGACCUAAAACAGCAUCUUUCCAGUGCUCAUCCAAUAGCUACUGGCACUCCAGAACCACAACCUGUAAGUCACUACAAGAACCUCCUUCACAGAAACAACCAGGCACCUCAUCCACAAGAACUUGAUUUGCAGCAAGCAACACCUCAUCCACAAGAAUUAGCAGCUUGUCCAGCGAUUGAGAGAAAGCAAAUCUCUGUUCAGUUUCCACAUAGGGUGAGUCUGAUUUCUAAAAAUUGAAAU
rnacentral:lncRNA from 1 species